rnacentral:rRNA from 1 species
AAUGAACGUUGGCGGCGUGGAUUAGGCAUGCAAGUCGAGCGGGCGUAGCAAUACGUCAGCGGCGAAAGGGACAGGAACACGUAGAUACGUACCCCCGGGUCUCGGAUAGCUGCGGGAAACUGCAGGUAAUACGGGAUAACGUCUCCGGACCAAAGGUGAGAUUCCGCCUGGGGAUCGGUCUGCGUCCUAUUAGCUAGUUGGUAGGGUAAUGGCCUACCAAGGCAAUGAUGGGUAGCGGGUGUGAGAGCACGACCCGCGUCACUGGGACUGAGAUACUGCCCAGACACCUACGGGUGGCUG